rnacentral:rRNA from 1 species
GACGAACGCUGGCGGCGUGUUUAACACAUGCAAGUCGAACGGAAAGGCCCUGCUUUUGUGGGGUGCUCGAGUGGCGAACGGGUGAGUAACACGUGAGUAACCUGCCCUUGACUUUGGGAUAACUUCAGGAAACUGGGGCUAAUACCGGAUAGGAGCUCCUGCUGCAUGGUGGGGGUUGGAAAGUUUCGGCGGUUGGGGAUGGACUCGCGGCUUAUCAGCUUGUUGGUGGGGUAGUGGCUUACCAAGGCUUUGACGGGUAGCCGGCCUGAGAGGGUGACCGGCCACAUUGGGACUGAGAUACGGCCCAGACUCCUACGGGAGGCAGCAGUGGGGAAUAUUGCACAAUGGGCGGAAGCCUGAUGCAGCAACGCCGCGUGCGGGAUGACGGCCUUCGGGUUGUAAACCGCUUUCGCCUGUGACGAAGCGUGAGUGACGGUAAUGGGUAAAGAAGCACCGGCUAACUACGUGCCAGCAGCCGCGGUGAUACGUAGGGUGCGAGCGUUGUCCGGAUUUAUUGGGCGUAAAGGGCUCGUAGGUGGUUGAUCGCGUCGGAAGUGUAAUCUUGGGGCUUAACCCUGAGCGUGCUUUCGAUACGGGUUGACUUGAGGAAGGUAGGGGAGAAUGGAAUUCCUGGUGGAGCGGUGGAAUGCGCAGAUAUCAGGAGGAACACCAGUGGCGAAGGCGGUUCUCUGGGCCUUUCCUGACGCUGAGGAGCGAAAGCGUGGGGAGCGAACAGGCUUAGAUACCCUGGUAGUCCACGCUGUAAACGGUGGGUACUAGGUGUGGGGUCCAUUCCACGGGUUCCGUGCCGUAGCUAACGCUUUAAGUACCCCGCCUGGGGAGUACGGCCGCAAGGCUAAAACUCAAAGGAAUUGACGGGGCCCCGCACAAGCGGCGGAGCAUGCGGAUUAAUUCGAUGCAACGCGUAGAACCUUACCUGGGUUUGACAUGGAUCGGGAGUGCUCAGAGAUGGGUGUGCCUCUUUUGGGGUCGGUUCACAGGUGGUGCAUGCCUGUCGUCAGCUCGUGUCGUGAGAUGUUGGGUUAAGUCCCGCAACGAGCGCAACCCUUGUUCACUGUUGCCAGCACGUUAUGGUGGGGACUCAGUGGAGACCGCCGGGGUCAACUCGGAGGAAGGUGGGGAUGACGUCAAGUCCUCAUGCCCCUUAUGUCCAGGGCUUCACGCAUGCUACAAUGGCUGGUACAGAGAGUGGCGAGCCUGUGAGGGUGAGCGAAUCUCGGAAAGCCGGUCUCAGUUCGGAUUGGGGUCUGCAACUCGACCUCAUGAAGUCGGAGUCGCUAGUAAUCGCAGAUCAGCAACGCUGCGGUGAAUACGUUCCCGGGGCU